UACGUAGGGUGCAAGCGUUAAUCGGAAUUACUGGGCGUAAAGCGUGCGCAGGCGGCUAUGCAAGACAGAUGUGAAAUCCCCCGGGCUCAACCUGGGAACUGCAUUUGUGACUGCAUGGCUAGAGUACGGCAGAGGGGGGAUGGAAUUCCGCGUGUAGCAGUGAAAUGCGUAGAUAUGCGGAGGAACACCUGAGGUGAAGACGGGUUGCUGGGCUGACACUGACGCUGAGGCGCGAAAGCCAGGGGAGCAAACGGG
rnacentral:rRNA from 1 species